rnacentral:rRNA from 1 species
AACGAACGCUGGCGGCAUGCCUAACACAUGCAAGUCGAACGAGACCUUCCGGCCUAGUGGCGCUUGCGGGCGGUACGCGUGGGAACCUGCCCUUAGGUUGCGCCUCCCUCCCCGCAAGGCGCGCCAAUACCGGUCAAUGUCAUCGGAGAAAAGCUCUUUCGCCUUUGGCUGGGCCGGCGUUGGCUUAGGUAGUUGGUAGGGUAAAAGCCUACCAAGGCGACAAUCUAUAGCUGGUCUGAGAGGAUGCUCAGCCACACUGGGACUGAGCCACGGCCCAGACUCCUACCGGAGGCAGCGGUGGGGAAUCUUGGCCAAUGGGCGAAAGCCUGAUCCAGCAAUGCCGCGUGAGUGAUCAAGGCCUUAGAGUUGUAAAGCUCUUUUACCCGAGAUGAUUAUGACAGUACCGGGAGAAUAAGCUCCGGCUAACUCCGUG